UCAAUUAAAAGCUGACACAUUUACAAGAUUCCAUCUUAUCUUGUUUGAUAGCAAAAUCGCCAUUCCCUGUCAUGGAGUUUGUCGAUUUCAUUUUCCUGGUUUAGCUCGAGUUCUCCAGCGAGUUUGGAGGUCGUCGAAGGUCGUUGUUCGAGGUUGUUUUAUGUUCGAGGUUGGUGUCGGUCUUCGGUUGAGGUUUUGUUUCCAGUCAUGUAGCAAAGUCAAGUUUUCUAAAAUAACAGAGGUCGAUUCUUCCCCUCUCUCUCGGUUUUAGUUUAUACUGUUCUUAUAUUGUGGUUGAAUGAAAAGAUUUGUGUGGAUCUUUACUUGCUUGUGGUAUCUUAAGGACAAAAUUUUGUUUUCAGUUGAAGUUGCAUUAUUUGAUCUGCUGCAUACCAGUAUUAGUACAAAAUUAAUCUUCAUCUAUGUUUAUGUUGAUGCAAAUGCUUAUAUUAAACCGUUAGCCUUGAAGAUAUUUAAAAUAGAAAGAAGGUUGGAUUG
rnacentral:lncRNA from 1 species